GGCUUCAAACCAUGGAUCCGUGCUUCAAACGGUUUCGUGAGGUAUAAUAGACGAAAGCUACGUAGAGAAGUAGGGACCAUAGUAGAAGGAUAGUAAAGUUGCUUCUCUCUCUCUCUCUACGUAGAAGGAACGACACGGGACAACACAAGCGCGGUUCCUACUAUGUAGCUUUCGUCUAUUGUCAGCGCGAUUGUCAGGUCCUUUGGCUCUUCUAGAGGUGAAGUUUGUUUGCAGGCGGUCGCUGCUUGCCAUCUGCUUGCACAGCGUGAGUUAGUAGCGCGGUCGAGUGUCUUCAAAGGAGCGUGAAAUUUCAUCAGAGGCAUUUCUGUGCAAUAUCCCUGUAUCUGGAACAAUCAACGCGCCGUGUCCGGAGGAAUGAUUUGCACCUGUUAUGCAUGUUUAGGAAAAUAU